ACAAAACAAGCAGAUUCUGUAGACAGUUUAAAAACCUGCUGUUCUCUGGAGGAGAGGAAGAGAAAACCUGAUAGCAGAAGCAUCUCUCGUGGCUGAAGGUCGCAGCCCUCCUGGAGAGGGCAAUGAAGACACCCACUGCUCCUUGGUUCCUGUGCUUGUGGCUGCAGUUGCACAGUUUGAGUGGAGGCGAGCAGUUGGAGCAGCAUCCAUCUUUCACAAGUGUCUUGGAGGGAGAUAGUUCUGUUCUCAACUGCACUUACACGGACAGCACUUCCUCUUAUUUCUACUGGUAUAAACAAGAACCUGGUGCAGGUCUCCAGUUGCUCAUAAAUAUUUUUUCAAAUACAGCCAACAAACAAGAUGGAAGAUUCAUUGUCUUUUUGAAUAAAAAGGAUAAACAUCUCUCCCUGAACAUCACAUCUACCCGUCCUGGAGACUCAGCCUCCUACUUCUGUGCAGCCAGCACACAGAGCUCUUGAGGCACCUGCAGCCCGUGCGCAAACCUGGAACUGGGGCUGGGUACACAGCCUGCCAUUCUCAUGUUUAAAUUCAGGAUUUUCCCAUUGUUUUUAAGACAUGAACAUUUUA